CCUACGGGAGGCAGCAGUGGGGAAUCUUGGACAAUGGGCGCAAGCCUGAUCCAGCCAUGCCGCGUGAGUGAUGAAGGCCCUAGGGUCGUAAAGCUCUUUCGCCAGGGAUGAUAAUGACAGUACCUGGUAAAGAAACCCCGGCUAACUCCGUGCCAGCAGCCGCGGUAAUACGGAGGGGGUUAGCGUUGUUCGGAAUUACUGGGCGUAAAGCGCGCGUAGGCGGAUUGGAAAGUUGGGGGUGAAAUCCCGGGGCUCAACCCCGGAACUGCCUUCAAAACUCCCAGUCUUGAGUUCGAGAGAGGUGAGUGGAACUCCGAGUGUAGAGGUGAAAUUCGUAGAUAUUCGGAAGAACACCAGUGGCGAAGGCGGCUCACUGGCUCGAUACUGACGCUGAGGUGCGAAAGUGUGGGGAGCAAACAGGAUUAGAUACCCUGGUAGUCCACACCGUAAACGAUGAAUGCCAGUCGUCGGAUAGCAUGCUAUUCGGUGACACACCUAACGGAUUAAGCAUUCCGCCUGGGGAGUACGGUCGCAAGAUUAAAACUCAAAUGAAUUGACGG
rnacentral:rRNA from 1 species